AGGGGAACAAGCUAUUGCAAUUAUAAAUGUUUUAACAUUAUUCAUCUUUUUCUCCCUAGUACUUAGAAGAAUGUCUGAUAUAUAAUCAGUAUCCAAACAUUAUUUGAUGCACAAAUGACUCACCCACUGCUCAGCCAACCUGGAUGAGGAGCCUGGAGAAAUUCUGCUGAUGUCCUUCUUCCUAAGUGAAGAGCUAUCCAAUUUGCUCUCGCACGGGUGUGACCAAGUAUUCAGUAUUCUACGUGCCUGUUUUCCAAAAAGGAAGCUCCCCCCCCCCCGCCAAAAAAAGGCAAAAAAUGAUGGUCACUUUUUUCAAUUAUAUGUGACAAAGUAUAUCUAAGAAACAACUCUUUCUAUUACAGCCAAUCAAAGCAGAAAAAGAAUACUUGUACCUAAUCAAGUUCAAGGAUAAACUUUAUUCAGUCUCCAGGUUUCACCUGCUUGUUUAAGUGGACUGCGCAUUAUAUAUUAUUGUAGCACUGUCACACUUCUUGGAUCUAAUAAUGUUCUCCAUCUUCUAAUACAUUUAUUAUCGCAGCAGCCUAUUCCUGGAGACUUCUUUACCAUUUUUAAGUAAGUUCUCAUCUAUGCCAUGGUUCAAUGUUUUCAUAUAUAAAAUGGACAUAAUAAAGGAGUCUAUUAGGUUCUCAUGAGGAAGCGCUGAGGAAGAAAUCAGAGACACAAGUAAGACAUUCAAAACAGCACAAUGAACAAUUAAGAAGGGUUAAAUAGGGUUAUAUUAAACUAUUUAAAAUUAAUUUAGGAGAUUUUAUGGUUAUAGUUAGAUAGUUACAGGUGUGUAAAUAAGUGGUUUAUGUAAACACUCCUGGAAGAUCUAAAGAAAUGUACUUUUUUUUUUCUUUUUUUUCUUUUUAGGGCUGUACCUGCAGCAUAUGGAGGUUCCCCAGCCAGGGGUUCAGUCAGAGCUACAGCUGCAGGCCUGUGCCACAGCUGCAGCUCCAGGCCUACGCCACACCAGAUCCCAGCCACAUGUGCAACCGCAAUUUGUGACAAGGCCAGAUUCUUAAUCCACUGAGUGAGUUAAGGGAUCGAACCCACAUUCUCAUGGAUACUAUGUCCAGUUCCUAACCUGCUGACGCACAAUGGGAACUCCUGAAGAAAUGCACUUUAAAAAUAAGUAUUUAUUUAUUACAUACUCCCAUGCAUUUUGGAUGAUGUCUCAGAAAGUAUACUCUCUGAAUUAAGAGGUGCAGGAUAAGAGGUUUUCCUUUUCCUUUCAUUAAGAGGUCUACCAAUGGCUCCCCAAAAGCUCACUCUUUCUUUCCUUCUCCUGUUCUUCUUUCUUUUCUCUCUCACAUUUCUACCUCACAUGCUGGUAUAGAAUUAAAAUCCUAUGUGAUCAAGAACACAAUAAAAUGCUUAGGUUUGAAACUCUUACCAGAUGCCUCUUGAUAGCACAUCCUUCCCCCUCCACCCUCUUCCAGCCCCCUCUACCCCUCCCACCCCGGCUAAACUGUUUCCUCACCUCCAGCUGACACCUUGACAAAAACUGAACCCCAGUGCCUAGCAUGUAGACCUAUAAUUUGCCAUUUUAUUUUUCAGUCUCAGCAGGGUGUGCCCUGUUGCCAAGGAUUUCCCACUCUGAAAUGAAAGAUAAAACAGACACCUGCAGAAUUCUCUUACAGUUUGUCCUUCAUCCUGGUGAAGAGCCUGAAUAGGGCAGCAGAAAAGGUUUCCAGGAUGAGAGGGGGAUAAUAUUCAGUGCUGGGAGGAACUCCUGUGGUGAAUGCCAAGAAGAUUGUUUUGUGCAAAGGGCAGUCACUCCCGUCCCCAGGGAAUGGAAGGAAAACCAGCUCCUUGAACAAAAAAAGAUUUUACUUUUGGAUCUUCUUUUCAGUGGAUUUGGCCAGGCCACUUUCUUCCAUUUUUUAACUGAUUUUAUGAGAGAUCUGGUUGAUCUAGGAUGUUGACACAAUAUACAACACAGUUUGCGGUUCAGAUUGGUAUAGAAGUGACUGUUCAAUGGUUCAUGAGAUCCAACCUCAGGAUAAAAUGCCCCUCUACCUAAAGUUCAGAGACAAGAGCCAUCCGCUUUAUUCCUACUGCUUCAACCUCUUUCAAACCCCGUCACAGCUAGUGCAUUUCUUGGUGUAUUUCUGUCAUCACAUUCACCAUCUAAGUACUAUAAUGCUUUCUUCUUCCUUGUCAUCACUGGGUAAGUUUCUAGGCCCAAAAGCAGACAGAGAAUGCACAACUGAUAUUAAAACAGAAUAUUACAUUAUACCACAAGCAGUAUGGAGGCAAAUCCUGUUUGCCUCCACAACAAACGCUGUUGUUACACUGUAGUUUUUCCUGACUAAAGGUGUUGAAAAAUGCGUCUCCAGGGAAUGCUUUUCCAUCACGUCCGCAGAGCUCCACCUCAAAAAUAUUAUGGUGCUUGUGAACCUCACUUCCUGCCAUCCACUUUUCAUUUUCCAGUGCUUUCCUUUUCGGAUAUUUUUUUUUUUCACACCUAUUACAAAGCAUAAAAACAGAAAUAAUCUGCUCUCACUCUGUUCAGAAGGGGAGAUAAGGAAGAAAGGAUACUAGCAUAAAAAAAAAUAAAAAGCUCUGCUUACGUACACCCUUUGACCGAUUUAUUCAUUCAGUAAAUAUUUAUGGAGGGCCUACUCUGCCAAGUGUGGUAACAAGUACCAGUUUACAGCGGAGAAAAAGAAAGACAAGAUUCUCGCUUUGUGAAAUAUUCAUUUGUCAGCGGAAAGAGAAUGGACAAUAAACAAAUAAGUCCAUGAAAAUAUCAGAUUUUUUAUUUUUGAUUACAGAGUCUCAUAGACAAUAAUAAACACUGCGAAGAAAAUAAGGCAGUGAUGGGAUGGGGGCGUGGGGGAGAAGGAGGGAGAGGGACUUUCGAUUCGGGUGAUAAGUUCUCCCCGAGAUGAUGUUUAGCUAAGACGUGAACGUUAAGAAGGAGCCAAAUGCUCGAGAUCCAGGAACAGAGGGUUCCCAGUGGAAGGGACAGCGAAUGCAAAGCUCUGAGGAAAGAGAGCUCUUGGCUAAGGUGUCUGGAGCAGAGCCAGCUAGGGAGGAAGCAGUGUGGGAAGAAAUCUGAGAGGUGGCCAGGGGCCGAAUUGCAUAGCCCAAGGGAAGAAUACGGCCAUAACUUACCCUGUUUGUGAAAGGGUAAGAGUGCAGAUAUUCAGCAGGAAGAGGGAGUGCAGCCUAAAGGUGGGUAAAGAUCAAACGACUUAGGGGGGGAAAUGGGGUCAUAGAUACAGCUCUCACUUUGAAUCUAUCUCUAAAAACAGGACAUGGCAGCCUUGAGCAGAGUCAGGUAGCAAAUCUGUCACCUUCUUGCACAUGUGGGUAUCAGCCUCUCCUUGUACCAGUGUAUUGGAAAGACAAUAUCCUGAAAUACUGUUAGGAAAUAAUACGUUUUACUCGUUAUACCCACAAUGUGGCUAUAAAGGGUAAAGAUCCACGUGGUUAUAAUGUGUUAUAAACCAGCAAAGAUCCACAGGCGGGAAGCAAAGAGUGGAAGAGAAGGUUCAAAAUGAAACAAUUCCAUUCAGACGGUAAGAUAAGGAACUACUUAGUUGUCUCUUGAAUGUUAUAAUAACAUUUUCAUAGUAAAAAAAAAAAAAUCGGGGUUUUUUUGGUUUUUUUUUUUUGGCUUUUAGGGUAUAAAAGCAUACAUUUACAACUAAGAAGAAAAGUUUUCAGUACUUGAAAACCAGAAAGUUAAUUUCGAUUCUCAUUCAAAGUAUCUCAUUUGGUCUAGGUAUUAUAGAGCACCAUGAGAUAUAAUGAUGGUAAUUUGAAUUAAUAGGUUAUCACUUUACAGAAGUCUAAAAGAUUUUAAGAGAGGGACAGGAUUCAAUGAGCAUCCAGCUGUUCAUCAGUUAAUUGAGUUCUUUAAAAUAUACAGUAAGUGUUAGAUACUGUUAUAAAGAUUCUCAGUAUGAACCAAUCACAGGGCAAUACCACACAAGAUGCCUGCUUUAUGAAUUUUGUGCUCAGCAUGUUUUCCAACUGGCUUAUAUUCCUUAGGAGAUAAGUUGUUCCCCAAAUAAUUAAGCACUUACAUCUUUAAUGUGUUUUUGCAAUCUGGCCUAAUGAUGUGACAGAGGGAAUGGCCAAAGUGUCAUAUGGCCUAUGGAUAUGAAACUGUCCCAAGUGACCAGCUGUCCUUCUGUUAAGAUGACUCCACAUUGUUUAUCAACUUGUGUGUUUACUAUAUCAGUUUUCUGGAGCUCUGAAUUGUUUUAGAUAUAUUUUUAAUGUUUCUAUCAAGAAUAGGAGUUCUUCCUAGGUGUAAAUCUUUGAACAAUGAUUUCUUAGCUCUGAUGUCAAAAGAAAAAGCAAGCAACAACAGGAAAAACAGAUAACUUAAACCUCAUCAAAAUUAAACAGUUUUGUUAUUCUGAUACAUCAUUACCAAUGGGAAAAGACAAUCUUCAUGCUAAGAGAAAAUACUUACCCUUUACGCAUCUGGUAAGGUAAGGGACUUGUAUGAAGAAUGUAUAAAGAAGUUUUACAGCUCAAUAAUGAAAGAAAAUCCCAUUUGAAAAUGAGAAAAGAAUCUCAAUAGAUAUUUCUCUAUAAAUAUAGCAAUUGGCCAAUAACCACAUGAAAAUAUUCUCAACAUUAUUGACUAUCAGGGAAACACAAAUCAAAACCACAAUAAGAUACUCACUGCUAGGCUGGCUACAGUCAAGAAGACAGAAAACAACAAGAGUCAUCAAGAAAGCAGAGAAUUUAGGAGUUUCCCCAUAUGGCUCAGUGGAAACAAACCCAACCAGUAUCCAUAAAGUUGCAGGCUUGAUCCCUGGCCCCCCGCUCAGUGGGUUAAGGAUCGAGCGUUGCGGUGAGACGUGGUGUAGGUCAUGGAAUUGGCUUGGAUCUGGCACUGCUGUGGCUGUGGCGCAGGCUGGCAGUUUUAGCUCUGAUUCAACCCCUAGCCUGGGAAGUUCCAUAUGCCGCAGGUGUGGCCCUAAAAAGCAAAAAAAGAAAAAA
ensembl:lncRNA